rnacentral:rRNA from 1 species
AGUGAACGCUGGCGGUAGGCCUAACACAUGCAAGUCGAACGGCAGCACAGUAAGAGCUUGCUCUUACGGGUGGCGAGUGGCGGACGGGUGAGGAAUACAUCGGAAUCUACUUUUUCGUGGGGGAUAACGUAGGGAAACUUACGCUAAUACCGCAUACGACCUACGGGUGAAAGCAGGGGAUCUUCGGACCUUGCGCGAUUGAAUGAGCCGAUGUCGGAUUAGCUAGUUGGCGGGGUAAAGGCCCACCAAGGCGACGAUCCGUAGCUGGUCUGAGAGGAUGAUAGGCCACAUUGGAACUGAGACAGGGACAAGAGUACUAAGGGAGGCAGCAGUGGGGAAUAUUGGACAAUGGGCGCAAGCCUGAUCCAGCCAUACCGAGUGGGUGAAGAAGGCCUUCGGGUUGUAAAGCCCUUUUGUUGGGAAAGAAAAGCAGCAGGUUAAUACCCCGCUGUUCUGACGGUACCCAAAAAAUAAGCACCGGCUAACUUCGUG